CCCGCGCCCCGGGGUCCUGCGGCGAGGCGGGAGGGAGGGGCGGUGACUCCUCAGCCAGCCACGGCUUCGUGCACCUGUACCCCACGCAAAGGAAAGAUCCUGUAUAGUUCUACAGGCAGCUCCUCAUGCCAGCCGCCCGGGAAGUUUCCUGGGUUUCGCCCUUCUCGGGGCUCCGGGGGCCUCGGGGUUAACUUCCCUUUGAGAGCAGCGGCUCCCUCCGCAUUCGGGGCCUGGGCUUGAACCCCGGGCGGCUCCGGGCGGUCUCCCUCGCGCGCUCACCCGCCGCGGGAACCACCUCCCGGAGCAGACAGCACCCAGGUGGCAAGCACCCCAGGCCCCCGCUGCACUCGCCGGGUGAAAAGCAAAGCUCCUUGCCACCCUCCCCAUCUUCACUCCCCACAAAACGCCUAGAUUGCUCCAGCAUAAUACGAGUUGUUGAUGCUUAACUAAGUGGGAAUCCAGAAAGCGCCUGCAGUCAUCCCUCUACUCCCCAAAGGCAUGUGGAGUAUCAUCUGAGCCCCUCCCUCCUGCCAUUUCCCCAAUUUGCCCUUUCGGUCUAAAUGACUGAAGUCACAGCUAAAGCAAGAUAUAAGAGGACAAUCUGAAACCUAAAGGAUGGCACUAACUCUCUGAAGCAUUCAAUGAGCUGAUCCCUGAGACUCUCUUCGAGGUGCUGGCAAUUUCGUUAAACUCUGUGCCCAAUUGGGUUCCAACUCAUAACCCUGGGAUCAAGAUGCACCAUGUUCUACCAGCUGAGCCAGCCAGGUGCUUCCUUACUGCAAAUCCUUGAAUCUCAAAAGCAAACUAUAACACACAUUCCAGAAGAGCUAGAAUGGAAAAGACAGACAACACCACAUGUGGAAUUACUGGAAUGCUCAAAUAUUGUUGGUGGAAGUGCAAAUUAGUACAGCCACUCCAGGAAGACUAUUUGAUUGUACCGACUGAAGUUGGAGAUAGGCAUAUUUUAUGACCCAGCAAAUCCACCUAUCUACAUGCAAAUUCAAUAGAGAUAGCAACACAGCAAACAUGCUGUGCUGUUCAGAGUGCCAUUUGUAAUAGCCCCAAACUAGAAACGACCCAUAUGGCUUUCAAAAGUAUAAUGGAUAAAGACAUUGAAUAAGAUGUAAAUUCACAUAAUGGAAUAUUACGUGAUGACAGAUAUGGACAAACUAUCACUACAGGCAACACCAGGGAUACAUCUUAUAAACAUAAUGUGGAGUUAGAGCAGCCAACUAUAAAGAAGGCCUCACUGUUUUGUUUCAUUUAUAUAAAUUUCAAAAACAGGCAAAUAGAUCUAUCGUAUUAAAAAUCAAGAUAACCUGGAGUAGGAAGGUGUCGCCCAUGGAAAGGGGCUUAGCGAGGAUUUUGAGGGUGUUGGGGAUGUUGUACUUCCUAAUCUGGGUGCUCGUGAUGUCAGUACAAUGAAACACAAACUGAGCUGUCCACCCAUGAUUUGUGCAUUUUUAUCUAUGUUCUGUCUCAGUAAAAGCAUACUAGAAAACAAACCCAGAAAUGACAAGCUGUGGUAUACCAGAGAACCUCCUAACUUGCUUGUAGCUCUAACAUCCCAUGAUUCUUUUCCAUUGGAAAAAGACUAGAGGAUAAGUUCUUUGAUUCUAGGUCACAGAAGGAAAUUCUAAUCGGCAAGGAGGAGCCCUGCGGCCAGUCAUCCUCUGUACCUGAGCCCGCUGUUCGGUGUCCCAGGUUCUGGGAGUGGUCCAUGCAUAGCAGUGCAGAGCAUCCUUGGCAGAAGAGGAAGACUGGCUCCAGUGGCACUUUCUAGAUGUCUUGCUCCGCUUCUCUGCCAUCAGCCUCCGUCUCCUUUAUUUUGUCAGGGCUUUCCUCCCUGGCACCCCCGGUUUUUGGGUCUGACAGUUGGCUGGGAGAAAUGCCCCCUUUUCUCUCCCUUUAUUGGCAUCCAUCUUAGUUCUUCUUGUAAUGGCUGCUCUUGUGAGCUCACACAUCCCUUGUGUGGUGUGUUCCUCACCCACCGUACAGCUAAAAUUAUCCUAUUGGCUUUUCCUGGUGGCACACAGCAUUUCAAAGUUAAAAACAUCAAACGCUCUCCCUGUCUGCUUACCUCUCAAUGGCAUUCUUGUCCAUUUUGAUGUGCUCCACUAGAGUGACAGCUCAGAAAAAACCAUCAAGGGGAAAGAAAAUCAAGAAUACAAGUACUAAAGAUGGGCAGAAGGACCAAAGGUAGAGACAGACAAUGAACGGCACCUCCCAGCCCAUCACUUAGUUAUUAGGCACUCUCUGCUCACACCUGAGGACAGGUUACAAGAACAGCAAGCAACGUCAGGUGUGCCUUCACAAGCUCCUGACCUAAAGGGCAUGCAGGAUGUAGGCAAAUCAACAAUGAGAAGUCGCAAAUGAAAAAUAAUGUAAUGAUGAAAUGGAAAUGACGUGGGAACACAAAAAGGGCACGGGGCUCCCCAAGACAGUGCCAUUUACAUAAACAAAGCCUCAUGGAAGACAGGUUAAAAUUGGAAACACUUAUCAUGCAGUCGGAGUCUGAGGCUGGUUGGAGAGAUUAAUGGAGUGUGUGGCAGGCUGGCUCCAUAAUCAUGAAAUAUAGACAGCCCAGAGCCUGGCCCUGUGAGCGGCACUUGGGGGCUUUUCCUGUGGAAGAUUAUUUCCUAGGGAGGGAGGUGACCAUGUGAAGCUGAGGACAUUUUUGAGCAAGGAGAAGUCAAAUCUAGUCCAUAGUGGAAGAGUUGUCAGGAUGAAAAUCAUGAAAGUUCUACUACUUAUUGUACUUGAAGCAUUCGAGGACUUGGCCUUUCUUCCUCCCUCCCCAGUGCACGGUCCCGGCCCAAGUUCUACUUCUUUGAGUCUGAUUCAUUCACUGGGACUCUGGGGGUGGACAGUGGUGGAAAUAAAGAAUAUUGGUUUAUCUAUUUAUCUGUCCCCACCCCUAACAUAAAAUACCAAUCAUAAGACAACCUAAUCCAACCAUUAAAGGAUGAGCCAGAUGUGAGAGGACCUGUCUCAUCAAUUUUUAAUUUGUGUUAUUUUCUGGACUGCAAACCAAUUGGGUAUAAUAGAGAAAAAUAGCCCAAGUUAUAUGGGAACUGCUUGAAAUAUAAUACUCAUGAUGCUCAAGACUGGAUCUUACUAUCACCAUCACUAUGCAUGUUUUAGGGAAAUAAAGAAACUGAAGAAGAGGGAUGUCCAUUUUAUUCAUUCAUUCAUUCAUCCAUUCAUUCAUUCAGCAAGUAAUUUUGAGCUCCUACUGCAUGCCUAGACACAGGAAGUCCACUCAAUUGCAAGUCAGUGCUGAACAGCAGACACAAUCAAGAGCUGGUGCCCUAGUCUGCACAGGCUGCCCUCACAAAAUACCACAAACUAGUGGCUUAAACAGCAGAAUUUUUACUUUCUCAUAGUUCUGGAGACUGAAAGUCCUCAGAGAGGUAGUUUCUCCCAAGGUCUCUCUCCACAGCUUGCAAAUGACCACCAUGUCCUCAUGUGACCUUUGCUCUGUGAAUGUAUUUUUGACGUCUCUGGUGUCCUAAUCUCUUCUUAAAAAGACUCCAGACAGAUUAAGGCCCACUCUAGGUGGGUCUCAUUUUAACUUAAUUACCUCUUUGAAAGCGCUUGGAAAUACUGGGGGUUAGGGCUUUAACACAAGAAUGGAGGUAAGAUGGGCAUGGACACUACUCAGCCUGUUACAGCUGGGAAGACAAUUUGAUCCUUUGGCCAAGGUCAUGGGACCUUAACUUCAUCCCUCUAAACUGGAGCUGGAAGGUUUCUUUUCCCUAGCAACAUCAGGAUUCACAAAAAGUCUAAAUCCUGAAUGCCCAUGGAGUGUGGUAGAGGAAGUACACUGGGGCAAAUUCCCACAUGGGGAUCCAACAGUCCACCACCUGUAGAACAAUGAUGGCUUGUGUGGACCAAGGAAGCAACUGUGUCCAAUUGCCCAGACUGUUUGCUAAAAACACUGAAAAGGAAACAUCUGCUUAUACUGUAUUUUUUUCUUUUUUCCCCCCUCUGAAUGCUUUAAAAGUGAAUAAAGUGGAUUUCAGUAACCCUGCCACACAAAGCUGGAUUCAUGCUUUCAGUAAUCCCCUUGGUGCUUGUCACAUUCAUUCUUGCUCUGAGGCACUUCAAACACUGUUGAUUUCUUCUUCCAUGAAUCUGAAUGAAGGUAAGGCUGUGGAGCCAAGUUGUUCCUGCUUUUCAGGGUGGGAUUUCACAGUCAAUCUGCCAACUCAUUAAGAGCACCCACCCCUUUCGGUUUUCCGGAUUUAUUCUGAUUGUAAUUUCUCUUCGUCUCCUUAAUCUUGAAAUAAAGAGCUUUUGG